rnacentral:lncRNA from 1 species
UCUUAUUGAUUUGGGUCGACACUUGUGAGGAGAGAAAUUGUUGGACUUAAAGUCCUCUUCGUACAAAUCUUGCUACCCUGUUGGCAAGCUGUAAAGAAUAAUUUUUCCACCAUCACCAAAUUGUGUGAAGAUUCAGAUUGGAGAACACAUUAAGAAUCUAGGCGGAACACACACAUGCUCAUGUAUUUUUGGACAUAAACAAACGUACCAAUAUAGGAGAGUAGGUAAUCGUGGGAGAGAAUCAGCAACGGAAAUCCAACAUAGGCGAAGAGCACGCGGAGAUCUUCGAGAUUCAAUCCGUAGAAAGCAAGAAAAAACCCUGAAUCCAAAACCAAAGGAGGACCUCGUCCUGAUCCAGAGAACUGAAAACAAAGGAGAACCUCAUCAUGAUCUAGAUCUCGAGGGGAGGGGUGAUAGUAGAGAUUUCAUGCCGCAAGAUCUCCUUCAGAUUGUUGUUGUUUUUUCUAACGGGGAAAGAAGGAGAUUGAGAUUGACGUAGUUCCUUUUUUUAGGGUAGUUCCUUUAGUUUUCUAUAAGAAAAG